rnacentral:rRNA from 1 species
CUAUCUGCCGUGGGCGUAAGAAGAUUGAAGAGAUUUGACCCUAGUACGAGAGGACCGGGUUGAACAAACCACUGGUGUAGCUGUUGUUCUGCCAAGAGCAUCGCAGCGUAGCUAAGUUUGGAAAGGAUAAACGCUGAAAGCAUCUAAGCGUGAAGCCAACUCUAAGAUGAAUCUUCUCUAAGCUCUCUAGAAGACUACUAGUUUGAUAGGCUGGGUGUGUAAUGGAUGAAAGUCCUUUAGCUGACCAGUACUAAUAGAGCGUUUGGCUUAUCUUU